CGCGUUAUAUAACUUAUUUAUUUAUUCAAACAAUAGGUAUAAGUAUUUAAGAAUACACAACUAAAUAUUGGAAACUGCUGCAAAAAUAAAAAUGAUUUUUAACUAAAAGAAAUUAUAUAUUUAAGUGCAUUAAUUAUUAUUUACUUAUUAAAAAUUAUUAUUAGUCUAGUAAUAAAUUGGAGUAAGAUCUUUUUCAAGGAAAAGUUUCACCAUAAUCUUUAGGAUAAAAGUUUAAUAAUAAUAUUUAUUAAAAUUAUUACAAUAAAUAUUAUUUAAAAUAUCACCCCAUCCAAAUCUUAAUAGGAUAUCAUAUAAGAGUGAAAUUAGGAAGAACUGUCAAAGAUCAUCCUAUUAAGGUUCCUUAGUCUAAGGUUCAAAUCUAUAGAAUGCACUUUGCUUAGACUUAAGUUUCAGUUAAAACGAGACAGACUUAUGCCAGCAGUAUAACGCUGUCUCGUUUUAACAGUGUCAAAAGUCAAAAAGUGUAAGUCUGAGCAAAGUCAAAGUGUACUCUAUAGAUUAGCCUUAGUCCUAUUAGCAUUUGGACAGGAUAAAUAAACAUUUAGAAUGUCUUUAGAAUUCAAGGCAAGGCAGGAUUCAAGUCAACGACAAUACGCCUGAAUAUACUGACAGACUGGGUGUAAGACCUACCAAUUAUAAUCCGAAUAUCUUUAAAACAAGAGUGAAUAGGCAUGUUCUAGGUAAACGCGUUCCAUCCUAAGUCCAUCUAUCAUCACUUUCCAUCAGAUGUGAUUAUGGUCAAGCGUAAACCUAUAAUGUUUUUUUUAAAGUACCACUAAAGGUGAACACACACUUAUUUGAGCCGAACGCGUCGAAAGAGUCGAACGAAACAAGUUUUAGAAUUCUGUAUAUGAAAUCUCAUGAAACCACGCACACUUCUGCGCGUUGAAGAUUCGGACGAUUCGACGGGGGAAAGUGUGCGAGGUUUCAUGAGAUUUCAUAUCCAGAAUUCUAAAAUUUGUUUUGACGUGUUCAGCUUGGAUAAGUUUGUGUUCACCUUAACUCGCACCCAGUCUGCGCGCUCUCAUAGCACUUGGAAGAUUGGUAUUGUUCGUGCGUAUUCGUACGUGUUCGCACGAGUCAAAUUCGUACGAAAUCGCAUCCAAAGUGCGGCUAGCCUUAGUCCUUUUUUGGAAACCGUGCAUUAGCACCAAAAUAUAAAAUGUAUAAUAAUUUUAUUUACUGUAAUUUAGCUAAUGUCUGGCAUGUGUUGCAAUGCAACUAUUGUAUGUUGAUACUAUGUCUGAAACCUUCAUGCAAGUGCAUACAAUAACUGUACAAAAUGUCACAUUAAUCAGGUGAACUAUGCGCGAACUCGUAGGCAAUAAACAGACAGACGGACAAAAUAAGAUAAUCAAAUCAUCAUUUACUUUGAAUUUUGUAUAAUAUAGGCAGAUCAUAAUCUAUAAGUAACCAAGCUGGCAUCAGGUAAAAAUAAAAAGACCUCUGGUCGAUAGUGGAGGGGAUUUGUUAGCGCAUGGGUACUGUACUAUGCCACAGUGC